GUGGGGAAUAUUGCACAAUGGAGGGAACUCUGAUGCAGCCAUGCCGCGUGUGUGAAGAAGGCCUUCGGGUUGUAAAGCACUUUAGUUUUCGAGAAAGGGUGCUGUUCAAAUAGGGCAGUAUUCAGAUGUUAGAAAAAGAAUAAGUACCGGCAAACUCCGUGCCAGCAGCCGCGGUAAUACGGAGGGUACGAGCGUUAAUCGGAAUGACUGGGCGUAAAGGGCACGUAGGUGGAUAGAUAAGUCACAAGUGAAAUACCCGGGCUUAACCUGGGAUUGGCUCGUGAAACUGUUUAACUAGAGUACGGUAGAGGGGAGUAGAAUUCCAAGUGUAGCGGUGAAAUGCGUAGAGAUUUGGAAGAAUACCGGAGGCGAAGGCGGCUCUCUGGACCGAUACUGACACUGAAGAGCGAAAGCGUGGGGAGCAAACAGG
rnacentral:rRNA from 1 species